AUGCUGUUUCCUUCUAAGGCUGGGAAACUUCUACUUGGCUAAUGUUUUCCCUAAUAUAAUAUUCAAUGAGAGAAAGAUGCAAAGACACUUAAAUAACUUAGCAAAUGGACUUCUUGGGAUGAAGAUAAACCUUAAACACUGUCAUUCUACCAUGAGAUGUCCUUGUGGAAAUCAAUCGCUAAACAGGGUUGAAGAUUUUAAAAAAUUGUUUUACAAGUUGGAAACAUCAGCAGCUGCACAUAAGGCUGUCAGUGACCUGAAUAUUUUGUUUCGCUGGAUAGAGAAGGACUUCCCUGGCAGAGACUCAAUAGGAACCAUAAAACUCUCAAAUAUUUAUUUCUAAUUGGCCUACAAAAUGUAUCCACUGUCCACUUAAC